GAAUUAUCAAUAAUAACUAUCCAUUCAAGAAUUAUUCACCUAAGCAAGAUGUAACUUUGCGUAAUCCGAUAUGUGCAAAAUACCAUGCUGGGCAGAUGCAAUGUGCAAGCUGGCUCCGCAUGCUCGAGGAUUUAUCCUGAAUGUGUGUAAUUCCGCGACUUGUGUACUGCACGCUGUUGCAGUGUUCCCGUUAGAUGAUAAUUUUCUAGCCCAGAAUUCGUUUCCUGUAAUUUAAACGACUGAUUUUAAUAAAUAAAUUUUGUAAAAAUAACGAAAUUCUUUUUCAUCAAGGAUAAUUUUAAUUAAAGUAAACUGUUCUAAAACCUGGUAACGCGUUUCCAUC